rnacentral:rRNA from 1 species
GACGUAGGGUCCGAGCGUUGUCCGGAAUUACUGGGCGUAAAGAGCUCGUAGGUGGUUUGUCGCGUUGUUCGUGAAAACUCACAGCUCAACUGUGGGCGUGCGGGCGAUACGGGCAGACUAGAGUACUGCAGGGGAGACUGGAAUUCCUGGUGUAGCGGUGGAAUGCGCAGAUAUCAGGAGGAACACCGGUGGCGAAGGCGGGUCUCUGGGCAGUAACUGACGCUGAGGAGCGAAAGCGUGGGGAGCGAACAGG